rnacentral:rRNA from 1 species
GACGGACGCUGGCGGCGUGCUUAACACAUGCAAGUCGAACGGAAAGGCCCUGCUUUUGUGGGGUGCUCGAGUGGCGAACGGGUGAGUAACACGUGAGUAACCUGCCCUUGACUUUGGGAUAACUUCAGGAAACUGGGGCUAAUACCGGAUAGGAGCUCCUGCUGCAUGGUGGGGGUUGGAAAGUUUCGGCGGUUGGGGAUGGACUCGCGGCUUAUCAGCUUGUUGGUGGGGUAGUGGCUUACCAAGGCUUUGACGGGUAGCCGGCCUGAGAGGGUGACCGGCCACAUUGGGACUGAGAUACGGCCCAGCCUCCUACGGGAGGCAGCAGUGGGGAAUAUUGCACAAUGGGCGGAAGCCUGAUGCAGCAACGCCGCGUGCGGGAUGACGGCCUUCGGGUUGUAAACCGCUUUCGCCUGUGACGAAGCGUGAGUGACGGUAAUGGGUAAAGAAGCACCGGCUAACUACGUG